rnacentral:rRNA from 1 species
UGGCCUUGACAUGUAUCGUGAAAAUCGGUGAAAGCCGGUGACUGCCCGCAAGGGUGAUGGGGAUACAC